ensembl:lncRNA novel transcript, antisense & intronic to TTC7B
AGAAACUCCCCCCGUCCAUCAGAGUGGAGACAAAGUUCUCUAGGGCAGCGUUAGCCCUGGAGGAGUUCAGAGAGCUGAUCUCUUUUACCUCCAUCCCCACCCCCAUCUCAAGAAGGCAGGUGCUAGUCUCCCAUUUUACAGAUAGGAAGAGUGGACAUGAAACCUUCAAAAGCGAUGGAGUCAGGAUUCCUGGUGGGUUGGCCACUCACUGCUCUGGACCCUUGAGGGGGAUCUUGUCUGAGUGAACUGAGAGAACAGAAGGACCAGGCCUUGGAGUCCUGUGAAGCCAACAGACACCUGAGCCUAGACAUGCCUGCACCUGGACACGCCUGCGCCUGGACAUGCCUACACAGGGACAUAACAGCCCUCAGGCAGGUGCCUGCCCCCUGAGCCUCUCUCAGCUGUGAUUGCCCAUGUGGACAGAGAGCAAGCAGCCAGGGACACACAUGUGGCCAGGGGAGACUCUGCAGGCUCCAGCAGGGCACUGUUCCACAGUAGUCUCUGUCGAAGGAUAGUGACGCCCAUGCCUUCCAAAUGGGAUACAGAGUCUGACAAGGAA